GCCGGUUUAGCUCAGUAGGUAGAGCAACUGACUUGUAAUCAGUGGUCACCAGUUCGAUUCCGGUAGCCGGCACCA
rnacentral:tRNA from 1 species